rnacentral:lncRNA from 1 species
UCUAUUUUUUAUUUUUCAUGUUUUAAAGAUUUUCCUAAUUAGGUUAAUUACAUUAAGUGUUCUCAAACUAGGAUUUAGAUUUUAAAUUGGUCCUCAAAUUUUAAUAUGUUCUAAAUGAAUCUUUAAAAUAUCAGUAUCGCAUCAAUCAUAUUUUUCUAUUAGAUUAGUCAUCAACUUUGGUAUUAAAAGUUAUCUAUAUAAAAAGUAGAAAUGUAUUUAACAUUUGAU